UACGUAGGGUGCGAGCGUUGUCCGGAAUUAUUGGGCGUAAAGAGCUUGUAGGCGGUUUGUCGCGUCUGCCGUGAAAUUUCGAGGCUCAACCUCGAACUUGCGGUGGGUACGGGCAGACUAGAGUGUGGUAGGGGAGACUGGAAUUCCUGGUGUAGCGGUGAAAUGCCCAGAUAUCAGGAGGAACACCGAUGGCGAAGGCAGGUCUCUGGGCCACUACUGACACUGAGAAGCGAAAGCAUGGGGAGCGAACGGG
rnacentral:rRNA from 1 species